CCCACGUGGAGCUUACGGGCUCGGUCGCUCAGAAGACUCUCACCGGUUCCACUGCUACAAAUAGAAGCGGCGGGCGCAGGCGAUGGGCGGAUUGUGGAGUAGCAACAGCAGCUCGAGAGAGGAGAUUGAUAUGGCGCUCGCGAAGGCAAAGGAUCUCGUUGCCUCCAACCCCGUCGUUGUUUUCAGCAAGUCAUACUGUCCCUACUGUACCCGGGUUAAGGAGUUGCUGGUGAAGUUGAAGGCAACUCACAAAGUGAUUGAAUUGGAUCUGGAAAGUGAUGGAUCGGCAAUUCAGGCUGCACUAGCUGAGUGGACCGGACAAAGGACCGUGCCGAAUGUUUUCAUCGGUGGGAAGCAUAUCGGUGGUUGUGAUAAGACCAUGGAGCUGUACAACUCUGGCAAGCUACAGCCGCUGUUGGUGGAGGCUGGGGCUCUUGCUGCUUAGAUGUUGGUAUGGUGUGUUUGUAUGCAGUGCUAAAGAAUAAGAUGAUAGUAUGUUGUUGGCUACCUGAUAUGGUCAUCUAGCUACUUAUAUGUUGCGACUUCA
rnacentral:misc_RNA from 1 species